UGAGGAAUAUUGGGCAAUGGACGCAAGUCUGACCCAGCAACGCCGCGUGGAGGAUGAAGGUUCUUGGAUCGUAAACUCCUUUUGCAGGGGAAAAGCAAGGAUGGUACCCUGAGAAUAAGUCACGGCUAACUACGUGCCAGCAGCCGCGGUAAUACGUAGGUGACAAGCGUUAUCCGGAUUUAUUGGGCGUAAAGCGCACGCAGGCGGCUCUUCAAGUCUGACGUGAAAUCUCUCGGCUUAACCGGGAGCGGUCGUUGGAAACUGAAGGGCUUGAGGCGAUGAGAGGGGUGUGGAAUUCCCGGUGUAGUGGUGGAAUGCGUAGAUAUCGGGAGGAACAUCAGUGGCGAAAGCGGCACCCUGGCAUUAGCCUGACGCUCAUGUGCGAAAGCGUGGGGAGCGAACGG
rnacentral:rRNA from 1 species